rnacentral:rRNA from 1 species
UACAGAGGGUGCAAGCGUUAAUCGGAAUUACUGGGCGUAAAGCGCGCGUAGGCGGUUUGAUAAGUCGGGUGUGAAAGCCCCGGGCUUAACCUGGGAAUUGCAUUCGAUACUGUCAGGCUAGAGUAUGGUAGAGGGAGGCGGAAUUCCACAUGUAGCGGUGAAAUGCGUAGAUAUGUGGAGGAACACCAGUGGCGAAGGCGGCCUCCUGGACUAAUACUGACGCUGAGGUGCGAAAGCGUGGGGAGCAAACAGG